rnacentral:rRNA from 1 species
CCUACGGGAGGCAGCAGUGGGGAAUAUUGCACAAUGGGCGCAAGCCUGAUGCAGCAACGCCGCGUGAGGGACGACGGCCUUCGGGUUGUAAACCUCUUUUAGUAGGGAAGAAGCGAAAGUGACGGUACCUGCAGAAAAAGCACCGGCUAACUACGUGCCAGCAGCCGCGGUAAUACGUAGGGUGCAAGCGUUGUCCGGAAUUAUUGGGCGUAAAGAGCUCGUAGGCGGUUUGUCGCGUCUGCUGUGAAAUCUGGGGGCUCAACCCCCAGCCUGCAGUGGGUACGGGCAGACUAGAGUGCGGUAGGGGAGAUUGGAAUUCCUGGUGUAGCGGUGGAAUGCGCAGAUAUCAGGAGGAACACCGAUGGCGAAGGCAGAUCUCUGGGCCGUAACUGACGCUGAGGAGCGAAAGCAUGGGGAGCGAACAGGAUUAGAUACCCUGGUAGUCCAUGCCGUAAACGUUGGGAACUAGAUGUGGGGACCAUUCCACGGUCUCCGUGUCGCNGCUACGCAUAGUUACCCGUCCGUCGGGAGGUACGGCCGCGACGGACGUAAACUUAAAUAGAAGUUAGACGGCGUGAGACGUCGCCGACGGACGACGACGAGGGAGGUUAGG